rnacentral:lncRNA from 1 species
UGUAGGCCACCCUACCCAUUCGUCACUUAGAAACAGUUCCUGAUGGCCUUCAAUGCAAAGUACCUCCCAGAGCACCUCCAACAUCUUAAAGAAAUAAAGUUUACACACCUAGUCCAGGGUGAUAUGACUGUGUCAUAGUAUACCUAAAAGUUCCUAGAGUUGGGUCGGUAUUCCCCUAAGAGGAUGAUGGAUGAAGGCAGAAGGGCAAAGAAGUUCGAGUGGGGUCUCGGUC